rnacentral:rRNA from 1 species
GACGAACGCUGGCGGCGUGCCUAAUACAUGCAAGUAGAACGCUGAAGGAGGAGCUUGCUUCUCUGGAUGAGUUGCGAACGGGUGAGUAACGCGUAGGUAACCUGCCUGGUAGCGGGGGAUAACUAUUGGAAACGAUAGCUAAUACCGCAUAAGAGUAGAUGUUGCAUGACAUUUGCUUAAAAGGUGCAAUUGCAUCACUACCAGAUGGACCUGCGUUGUAUUAGCUAGUUGGUGAGGUAACGGCUCACCAAGGCAACGAUACAUAGCCGACCUGAGAGGGUGAUCGGCCACACUGGGACUGAGACACGGCCCAGACUCCUACGGGAGGCAGCAGUAGGGAAUCUUCGGCAAUGGACGGAAGUCUGACCGAGCAACGCCGCGUGAGUGAAGAAGGUUUUCGGAUCGUAAAGCUCUGUUGUAAGAGAAGAACGAGUGUGAGAGUGGAAAGUUCACACUGUGACGGUAUCUACCAGAAAGG